AAUAGAUACCCGGGUAGUCCACGCCGUAAACGAUGAGUGCUAAGUGUUAGAGGGUUUCCGCCCUUUAGUGCUGAAGUUAACGCAUUAAGCACUCCGCCUGGGGAGUACGGCCGCAAGGCUGAAACUCAAAGGAAUUGACGGGGGCCCGCACAAGCGGUGGAGCAUGUGGUUUAAUUCGAAGCAACGCGAAGAACCUUACCAGGUCUUGACAUCCUCUGACAACCCUAGAGAUAGGACUUCUCCUUCGGGAGCAGAGUGACAGGUGGUGCAUGGUUGUCGUCAGCUCGUGUCGUGAGAUGUUGGGUUAAGUCCCGCAACGAGCGCAACCCUUGAUCUUAGUUGCCAUCAUUUAGUUGGGCACUCUAAGGUGACUGCCGGUGACAAACCGGAGGAAGGUGGGGAUGACGUCAAAUCAUCAUGCCCCUUAUGACCUGGGCUACACACGUGCUACAAUGGACGGUGCAAAGAGCUGCAAGACCGCGAGGUGGAGCUAAUCUCAUAAAACCGUUCUCAGUUCGGA
rnacentral:rRNA from 1 species